ACAGAGGAGGUGGAAGUGGCGGAGGUUAGGUAGAAGAAGGCUGAGGAACCCCCACGUAUUUAAUUGAUUCUUCUGCAUCAUCCAUGGUGAAUUUCAACGACGGUGGAGAGAUGGAAUGCGGCAGCAAUGAGGACUACGGUGGUGACGGUGGGUUGAGAAGAAGUGGCGGCUCAACUCUGAGUAAGUCCAUUUUCUGGAGCAAAGUUUUGAGGUGGAAAACAAGCUUGAACCAGAGAGGAAAGUCCAACUGGCUAAGGACUUGGGGCUGCAGCCUAGAAGGUUGCGGUUUGGUUCCAAAACCGGCGUGACAGAUACAAGACAAAACAUAUUGAGAAAAAA